AGAGUUUGAUCCCUGGCUCAGAUUGAACGCUGGCGGCAUGCCUUACACAUGCAAGUCGAACGGUAACAGGUCUUCGGAUGCUGACGAGUGGCGAACGGGUGAGUAAUACAUCGGAACGUGCCCGAUCGUGGGGGAUAACGGAGCGAAAGCUUUGCUAAUACCGCAUACGAUCUACGGAUGAAAGCAGGGGACCGCAAGGCCUUGCGCGGACGGAGCGGCCGAUGGCAGAUUAGGUAGUUGGUGGGAUAAAAGCUUACCAAGCCGACGAUCUGUAGCUGGUCUGAGAGGACGACCAGCCACACUGGGACUGAGACACGGCCCAGACUCCUACGGGAGGCAGCAGUGGGGAAUUUUGGACAAUGGGCGAAAGCCUGAUCCAGCCAUGCCGCGUGCAGGAUGAAGGCCUUCGGGUUGUAAACUGCUUUUGUACGGAACGAAAAGACUCCUUCUAAUAAAGGGG
rnacentral:rRNA from 1 species